rnacentral:rRNA from 1 species
GACGAACGCUGGCGGCGUGCUUAACACAUGCCAGUCGAACGGAAAGGCCCUGCUUUUGUGGGGUGCUCGAGUGGCGAACGGGUGAGUAACACGUGAGUAACCUGCCCUUGACUUUGGGAUAACUUCAGGAAACUGGGGCUAAUACCGGAUAGGAGCUCCUGCUGCAUGGUGGGGGUUGGAAAGUUUCGGCGGUUGGGGAUGGACUCGCGGCUUAUCAGCUUGUUGGUGGGGUAGUGGCUUACCAAGGCUUGGACGGGUAGCCGGCCUGGGAGGGUGACCGGCACAUUGGGACUGAGAUACGGCCCAGACUCCUACGGGAGGCAGCAGUGGGGAAUAUUGCACAAUGGGCGGAAGCCUGAUGCAGAAACGCCGCGUGCGGGAUGACGGCCUUCGGGUUGUAAACCGCUUUCGCCUGUGACGAAGCGUGAGUGACGGUAAUGGGUAAAGAAGCACCGGCUAACUACGUG